rnacentral:rRNA from 1 species
AUUGAACGCUGGCGGCAGGCCUAACACAUGCAAGUCGAGCGAGCGGCGGACGGGUGAGUAAUACCGGGGAAUUGCCCAGUCGAGGGAGCAAACAGUUGGACACGACUGCUAACACCGCAUACGAUUGGAUUGCCCAGGUGGGUUUGGCUUGUUGGUGCGGUAAUGGCUCACCAAGGCGACGCUCCCUAGCUGGUCUGAGAGGAGGAUCAGCCAGACUGGGACUGAGACACGGUCCAGACUCCUACGGGAGGCAGCAGUGGGGAAUAUUGCACAAUGGGGGAAACCCUGAUGCAGCCAUGCCGCGUGUGUGAAGAAGGCCUUCGGGUUGUAAAGCUCUUUCAGCGGGGAGGCGUUACUCGCAGAAGAAGCACCGGCUAACUCCGUGCCAGCAGCCGCGGUAAUUC